AACGAACGCUGGCGGCGCGCCUAAUACAUGCAAGUCGAACGAGAAGCUGUAGCAAUACAGUUGUACAGUGGCGAACGGGUGAGGAAUACAUGGGUGACCUACCCUCGAGUGGGGAAUAACCAGCCGAAAGGUUGGCUAAUACCGCGUACGUUUCCCAGUCUGCGGGUUGGGAAGGAAAGCGAUGCCGUGGGUAUCGCGCUCAAGGUUGGGCUCAUGUCCUAUCAGCUUGNGGUGGGUAACGGCUCACCAAGGCAACGACGGUAGCUGGUCUGAGAGGACGAUCAGCCACACUGGCACUGCGAC
rnacentral:rRNA from 1 species